UAAGUCUCUUUGUUCAUUGCCGCUCUAACUUUGAUUAUUGAACAAAUAAUCAUUAAGUCAAGUGCUACCUGUAUGUAAAGAAUCAGAACUCUGGGGCCAGGAUCAAUUGCUUUGAAGCUAACGCCUGCAAAAGCAAACUGGUACAAGAAAAACUAAGCAUCCUUAUAACUAUUAUCCAAUCUAUCCAAUUAAGAUAAGAGAAGUAGGAAAAUGCCCAUAGAAACUUAACUUUAUGUGCAAGGAAACAAAAUGCACACUGGGACAAAAAUGCUGAUUAUACCCAUACUUUAAAGUAGAACUGAACUUCAA